CCUACGGGAGGCAGCAGUGAGGAAUAUUGGUCAAUGGGCGAGAGCCUGAACCAGCCAAGUCGCGUGAAGGAUGACGGCCCUACGGGGUGUAAACUUCUUUUGUCAGGGAGCAAAUGAGUCCACGUGUGGGCUUAGCGAGAGUACCUGAAGAAAAAGCAGCGGCUAACUCCGGGCCAGGAGCCGCGGUAAUACGGAGGAUGCGAGCGUUAGCAGGAUUGAGUGGGUUUAAAGGGUGCGUAGGCGGAAUAUCAAGUCAGCGGUAAAACUUCGGGGCUCAACCCCGUCGUGCCGUUGAAACGGAUGUUCUUGCGUGGGCGUGCCGUAUGCGGCAUGCGUGGUGUAGCGGUGACAUGCAUAGAUAUCACGCAGAACUCCGAUUGCGAAGGCAGCAUACCGGCGCCCAACUGACGCUGACGCACGAAAGCGUGUGUAUCGAACAGGAUUAGAUACCCUAGUAGUC
rnacentral:rRNA from 1 species